rnacentral:lncRNA from 1 species
AAUCAACUUGGUUCCAACAUUAUGCUUAAUAGGUUAUGCAUUAGUCCUUUUACAAGUAGAAUAUUUUUAAUAGAGGGAAUAUAACUAUUAUGCUUAAUGUGUCGUGCCCAACGAUCUUACCCUUAUGAUUACCUUCAAAACCUACAAAGUAUUCACUCUUGAGGGUUAUGUCUUGGAACAUAGAGUUCAUACAUCGCUCUACAAUAAAAAUUGUGUUUUUAGAACUAAGGAUCAUCUCCAUCUGCUUAGUGAGCUUGUCUAUUUGAGAAGACAUUGUUCGUUGUAUAACCAACAUAGCAGUGUAUCCAAUUCAAGCAAACCCUUUCUGGAUGAUCCUCUAUCAUGUUGUUUAAGGUCUCAACCCACGAUAAAAUAUAUGCAUUUGUGUGAACACAUAAAACCCAUUCCCUAGACACCUCUUCACAAACAAUUUAUACAUUUACCAAGCAUCAUAUAAUUUAUUAGGAUUUGGGAGGGCUGGUUGUACCACUGAUCCCAAAUAAAUUUGUCAAAUGUUGAUUUGGGUCUUCCACCUCAACACCCGAAAGUUUCUCAUUCUUCAAGGCACUUAAUACUGAUGACUUAUCUUCAAAAGAUAUUGCGUCCACAACUUGAAAUUCACGAGUCAUCUGCCCAUGACUAUGCCUUCGACUGAAAUCUCCAAGAACACAUCGAGGUGGUCGUGGUAGUGGUAGAUCCAUAUCUUCCAACUUAGUAUCAGAAUCACUGAGUGAAGUUUCGGUAGCAAGUGUUUCUUUUAAUGCCUUAAUUUAUGCUUGUUAUGCUUCCCCAACUCUCCUUCUGUUUAGCUUUUCAGUCUUAUCAACCUAUGGAUCGAAUAGUAAUCUUAAACUUUCACCCGGCAUACACAACUCACAAUACCUUAAACACCUUAAGCAACAGAGAAAUAGCCAAGAGAAAAUAAUGGCAAUUUAUAUCACUCCAAAGAGAAAAAGAAAAUAAUAAAACUAAGUACGACAACUUUGCCUUGUCGAUAAAUUAAUCAACAAUCUCCGACAACGGCGCCAAAAACUUGACAACUCUUUGACAAGUGUAUCAAAUCUCUCAAGUAAUAAAGUGAUAAGUAAAAUUGUCUCCACAUGAAUGUUUAUUAAUUUAAUUAUGCAACAAAGUAAAUAACACUUAGGUAAGUAGAAUAUUUACGAUUGGUUUAUAAAAUCGAACAAACGUAAAAUUAAAUAGAGAAAGACGAUUAGGGACUCGAAUCACCUUAUUUUUACCAUGUAAUAAUUGAAUUGCUAUUUUAACAAUCUAACUUAUUUAAUUACGUCAAAUUAACCAAUUAAACUAAGACUAAUUCUUUGACUCAAAAUCUCUUUUAUGACAAAGAACCAUAAUACUUAGGGGAUCAGACUUGUUGCUCAAAGUAUAUAUAGAUGUUAAUUUAUUAGACACAUCUUAAUACUUUAUAUUCCUAUAAUAGUAUUGAAACAUUGACAUAUAUUUUGGUUCCGAUAAUUAUAGCAUAUUUCCAAUAACAAAAUAAUUCACAUGUUUAAUUAUAUGGUGAUCAAGCAUAGAAAAGCACUAAGAGCAAAAAUAUAUGAAAAAUCAAAUACAUUGUAAUUGCAUAAAUAACAUAUGAAAACUAGAACUACAUGAAUUCAAGAAGGUUUAUCUAAUCCCUAAUCAAUGAGUAAAUUAGCUACUCAUAUAGUUUGAUAAAAGAUACAUAAAGAAAAGUAAAUUACACAUAAAGAUUGCACUAGGCGUCAUCUCGAGUGUAGCUGCCUCAUACUUUGAAACAAAAAAUUUGAACCCUAACAAAAUUUUAAUUUUUAACUUAAAUAAUGUUUAGAAAAAAUGCGUUGCGACGCUCUCCUGCUGCACUUAGAGACAAUAAGAUGUGUCAGGAUGUGCACUAAUUGGCGCAAUGCGCCCUAGUACUUCCUACUACGCUCCAGCUUCAAUCAAAAGAAAAUUAUGCACAUCUAAAAUCACCUUGUAUCAACACUGGCCCUUUGUAACUUUUCGAGUGUCUGUUUCUUAAUGUAAUUAACCCGUAACAUCAAAACAACUAGAGAAACUCCAAAAAUUUGUCUGGAUAGAAAUGAUUAAUACAAAAACAUUUAAAGAUAAUCCAAAACAAUUUAAAUUUUUUUGUCUUCAAAUAACUAUAAAACUAACAUAGAUGAAAUUGAAAACAAAAAUUAUUAACAAGGUGUUAAAAAAUAAGAGUAGAUGAAUAUUCAUCGAAGUACAUCGAUGGAUAAUCC